rnacentral:rRNA from 1 species
CGCACUAGUCACUUUGUCUUUAUGGCAAAUGUGAGAUGCAGUGUAUGGAAUGUCAAAUUUCUAGUAUGAGAAAUUAACGAUUUAAGUCCUUCUUAAAUGAGGCCAUUUACCCAUAGAGGGUGCCAGGCCCGUAUAACGUUAAUGAUUACUAGAUGACAUUUCCAAAGAGUCGUGUUGCUUGAUAGUGCAGCACUAAGUGGGUGGUAAACUCCAUCUAAAACUAAAUAUAACCAUGAGACCGAUAGUAAACAAGUACCGUGAGGGAAAGUUGAAAAGAACUCUGAAUAGAGAGUUAAAUAGUACGUGAAACUGCUUAGAGGUUAAGCCCGAUGAACCUGAAUAUCUAUUAUAGAAAAUUCAUCAUUAUGAUUUUAAUGUUAUACAAACCACAUUAUAAUAAUGGUGUGCAUUUUUUCUAUAAAUGACAUUGUAAUCUAUUAAUAUCGCAAAUUUAUCAUAAGAUCAUAUGCGCAAGUUUAUUCAAAUUAUUUUGCUUGCAAUUUAACAUAGAAUAAAUGCAUUCGAUUUGAUAAAGUAUUGAUAGAUUUUAUUUAUAUAUAGUGCUUAAAUUUUGUAAAAAAAAUUUUAUAAUAGCGUAUUAAUUAAUUAAUUUUAUAUGUUUAUUAUAUGCACUUAUAUGAUUAACAAUGCGAAAGAUUCAGGAUACCUUCGGGACCCGUCUUGAAACACGGACCAAGGAGUCUAACAUAUUUGCAAGUUAUUGGGAAUAAAAACCUAAUAGCAAAAUUAACAUAACUUAAAUUUAUAAAGGGAUUAGUUUUUAGUACAUUUAUGUAUUAUUAAUUCAAUCCCGGGGCGUUCUAUAUGGUUAUGUAUAAUAAUAUUUAUAUUAUUUAUACCUCUAACUGGAGCGUACCUUGAGCAUAUAUGCUGUGACCCGAAAGAUGGUGAACUAUACUUGAUCAGGUUGAAGUCAGGGGAAACCCUGAUGGAAGACCGAAACAGUUCUGACGUGCAAAUCGAUUGUCAGAAUUGAGUAUAGGGGCGAAAGACCAAUCGAACCAUCUAGUAGCUGGUUCCCUCCGAAGUUUCCCUCAGGAUAGCUGGUGCAUUUAAAAUUUAUGUAAAAUAAUCUUAUCUGGUAAAGCGAAUGAUUAGAGGCCUUAGGGUCGAAACGACCUUAACCUAUUCUCAAACUUUAAAUGGGUAAGAACCUCACCUUUCUUGGUAUGAAGGUUGUGGUUGUGAUAUAAUGUGCCCAGUGGGCCACUUUUGGUAAGCAGAACUGGCGCUGUGGGAUGAACCAAACGUAAUGUUACGGUGCCCAAAUUAACAACUCAUACAGAUACCAUGAAAGGCGUUGGUUGCUUAAA